UCUCUCCUGCCUGGUGCGUGAUGGGCUCUUUUAAACCCACAUUUAUAAAACGGGAUGCCCACUCGUUCCGCGGUUCGCAGGCCUCCCGGCCUAUGCCGGAAGUUGGAAGCGGUAAAGCGGGAUCGGAGGCGACCCACCUGCCGGAGACGUGCAGGUUUUAAAUGGGCUCACACGGCCAAGGCGGGAGAAGU
rnacentral:other from 1 species